GUGCUCUGUAUAUUAAAAAUUGUCCAAAAAUGUACCCAAAAAUGUCAGGAGUGUAACGCUUUAAAAUGUUUAAGUGUAACAUUCAUGUUAUUUUUUUUAUAGAAACAAUGUUGUUAUUAUUGGUUUUCCUUUCUGGAAUUUGAGUGUGAACACCAUCUGUUGCAUAUUUUCAGUAACAAACAUGCCAUUAUUAUGGCCUUUAUUGCUUGUUUAUGCUCAAUACUUGUAUGUCAGGACUGUAACACAUUUAAACAAGCUAGUUCAAUUGCAAUUUUAGUUCAAAAAUUUCAAAAGUAAUGAUGUAGACUUGUAUUCUGUGUUAAGCUGAGGUGUAGUAAUGUCAUUUUAUAAUAAUUGUCAGCUUGUUUUUCUUCCAAUAACUUACCUUUGCUAAUAAGAUUGAAAUAAGGCAUUUUUUUGUGUUACACUCCUGACAUUGAAGUAUUGAGCAUACAAAAGCAAUGAAGGCCAUAAUAAUGGCAUGUUUGUUACUGAUAAACUGUAACAGGUAAUGUUCACUGAAAUUCAAGAAAAAACAAC
rnacentral:lncRNA from 1 species